rnacentral:rRNA from 1 species
AGCGAACGCUGGCGGCAGGCCUAACACAUGCAAGUCGAACGAGAUCUUCGGGUCUAGUGGCGCACGGGUGCGUAACGCGUGGGAAUCUGCCCUUUGGUUCGGAAUAACAGUUGGAAACGACUGCUAAUACCGGAUGAUGACGAAAGUCCAAAGAUUUAUCGCCAGAGGAUGAGCCCGCGUAGGAUUAGCUAGUUGGUGUGGUAAAGGCGCACCAAGGCGACGAUCCUUAGCUGGUCUGAGAGGAUGAUCAGCCACACUGGGACUGAGACACGGCCCAGACUCCUACGGGAGGCAGCAGUGGGGAAUAUUGGACAAUGGGCGAAAGCCUGAUCCAGCAAUGCCGCGUGAGUGAUGAAGGCCUUAGGGUUGUAAAGCUCUUUUACCCGGGAUGAUAAUGACAGUACCGGGAGAAUAAGCUCCGGCUAACUCCGUGCCAGCCGCCGCAGUAAUAC